UUCAGCCGCUAAUAUUUCCCCCAACCUUCUUUUUCCCUCUUCCCUCUUUUUUAUUUCUUUUUCCCGCUUCUCUUUUCCUGUCCGUGUCCUCCGACCUCCCUCUCUCUCUCUGACCCGCCCUCUCUCCUCUCCUUUCUAUGCGACUCACUUUCUCUCCUCUCUUCAUUUUUCAUCUACACUACUAACUCUUUCACCUGUUCCAUUUCUCUCUCUAUCCCCUUGUAGAUUCAUAUAUACACAUAUAAUCCUGAUAUAUAUAAAUAUAUAUAUGGAUAGAGUAACUAGAUGCGCAAGCAGAUUGCCGUAAUGAGGCAGUCUCUCUUUGAUCAGGGAUUUCUAGAUGAACAAUUUAUCAAGUUGGAGGAUCAACAAGAUGAUGCUAACCCUAAUUUUGUAGAGGAAGUGGCUACCGAGAUUCAUCUAGACUCAUCUAUAACCUGGACCAAGCAUUCUACGAAGAAAAAACCAGUUUUGAUUUUAAGUUUAUAGAACAACCCUUUAGGUCCUUGAAGUGGAAAUAUGGCUUCUUUAAUUGAUAUAGCAGUUGGAGCAGCCAUAAAUAUACUCAGUGCAUUUUUUUUCUCCCUGAUAUUCGCCAUACUUCGGAUUCAACCGGUCAAUCAUAUGGUCUACUAUCCAAAGUGGUAUCUUAAAGGGUUAAGGAAUAGUCCGCUGCGCGCGGGUGCAUUCAUAAGCAAGUUUGUCAAUUCAUUACUAAAAUAAUCCCCAAGGAAAGGGUAUUUGGUGCUAACUAUUAUAUUAGCUUGUUUAUGACAUAGUACACUUACAUAUAUUGCACUUACAAUUGACAUAGCACACUUACAUUUAUAACAUGGAGCAUCACUUUUGGUUCUUGUGAUCACGUUUAGGUUCAAUAGUAUAAAAUGCUAUACAAAAGUUUGAUAUUAUUAGUAUAUUGCUUGAUAAUUCAUAGUUAUAUUGGACUCUAAGUUUCAUUCUUUUGGACUAGCAUUUAUUUGAGCACAACACUUUUUGAGGUUCUCAUUCAUACUUGUAUUACUUUUGAGUACAAUAUAUUCCAUGUAAUAAUAUUUCAAGCAGUAAUUUUAUUUUUAGGUAGUGGAAUUAGUGAGCAGGAUUAGAAAAGCUUGCUAUUGAUUGGAAGAGGUAUAUUCUUUUAUUAUUUUUAAUAUUAUACAAAUGUCUGUUAGAGGAGUUUGAAUAUCUUAAAUAUUCAUCCAUAAUGAAGUAGGUUAUGGGAUUAUAAUUGUGUGCUGCGGUGAUAACGGAAGGUUGAAAACUUGCAUGUUUUAGUGAAGUAGGUUCUGUGAUAUAUAUAAUUGCGUGCUGGGGGAGAUAUAAGGAAGAAAAUUUGUUAGUUGUUUGAAUUGAUAUUGACAGAUGGUUAUGUUACAAAUAUAGAAGAAGUGUUGUCCGUUUUAAAUUUAGCAAUGAUAAAUAAAAAUAAUGGGGCAAGAGAUAAAAAUUGUUUUUUUUUUUGCUUGAAGAACUUAACUACACUAACUAAAUCAUAAAAAAUAAUAUGAAUGGUUUAGAUUAUGAAAGAUUAAUGUUUCACUUUCAUUUAUAUUCAAAUAGAGCUCAAGCAGUCAUAUAUUGAAUAUGACAACAAAAAAAACUAGCUUUUGCAAGAGGGUUGUGGAAUUGUAGCAAAAUAGCUUUUGCAUAGGGUUCCACCGUGGGGACGAAGAUGCUCUCUUAAGUGUGUUUUUGAGCAUGUUUGAAUUUGAGAAAUCACUAUAUAAAUUUGAAACUAGAUUAUUGUUUCAAAAUUCUGAGGCUCCAAGAUGUGUUUCAUUGUUUUGAGGCUUAAUUUAUUUUACGUUUAAAGAUUAUUUGCAUUAAUUUGAAGUUUUUUUCUAAAGCAUAAAUAAUAUCUUGAUUUUUUUAGAUUUGUUGAUUUUAGUGUAUAUUAUGUAUUUAUAUUUUUUGUUGGAUACUUUGCUUUUGAUUUUGUUAUGAUCAUUUAGAUUCAGGGUAUAUAUAUAUAUAUAUAUAUAUAUAGAUUCUUCUGUUGGUGCCUUUUGGUACCUUGUAUAUAAUUUUAUAUUUGGUAUUCUAUGGCAUAUUUGUGUUGUGUCCACUCUAUUAGUGCUGAAGACUUUGUUUAUUAUCAUGUUAUGUUAAUCAACUUUAGGGUAUAUUUGUGUUUUGAUGCUAGUGCUUAAUUUUCUUUUAGAUUGGUUGAUUUUAGUAUAUAUUAUGUAUAUAUAUUUUCUGUUGGAUACUUUGCCUUUGAUUUUGUUAUGUUUAUUCAAAUUUAGAGUAUAUAUGUGUACUAUUGUAAUUAAGUUCUUUUUUUGUGAUUCAUUUUUACAUUAAUUGAUUUUGGUGUAUAUAUAUAUGUUUUUGUUGGAUAUUUUUUUAUAUAUCAUUGAUUUUGGUAUUAUUAUUGUUAAUUAUAUUUGAUAUUCAUUUUUUUUUGUCAAUGAUGUUAAAAUAACGAGUAUGUUUAUUAUGUUGAUGAUUAUAGGAGUUAUUGUGUUCUUAUAUUUUUAAAGGCAUACAAAGUGUCAUAAAUGCCCAUAAUAAGUCAUUUUUUUUUCUUUCUGAAAUCCUUAUUAUGAUUAAAUUGGAGAUAUUCUAUUAUUAAAUUGGAAAUUUUGUUAUACUUUAAUUUACAACAUCAUUGGUCUCCCAACCGUCUCAAACCUUGUAGGCAUUCUUACAAGGUCAUCUUUUGUUUAAUAAUCUCUAAGAGGAAUUAAUCAACUAAUUUUACAUAUUUUUAUUGUUGGUUCUCAUUCAUUCAUUAAUAUAUUAUGGUAAAUGUUACACCCAGAUUUCGAGCCAUGAUAAUUGUGACCUCGAAAGCUGGAUUCAUAAGGAAUGAAUUCGUAAAGUCUGGAAUAUGUCCGAGAUCUAAGCAUCGAGCCUGCGAAGCAGAGACGACUUCAAAGAUGAUAGCCUCGAAAUUCUCACAAGCUCGAAAGAUAGACCCCGAGGUACAUCUGUUCUCGGGAUGGCCUCGGAUCAGGACACUGAGCCUGACGCGCGUAUGAGCUCGAAGUCAUAUAGCCUUGGGAAGAUGCUAUAGCUCGAAACUCAAUAAGAAACCUGGGUGAAUGGGGCCUUGGUGAUAUAGGAUAAUAACUUUGAAUAUCCUAGUGAAUCACCAAUAACAGAUGCGGUCCACAUUUAUUACUAAAAAAUCCCCUAUAAUCAAGGGAUAUUAUUUGUUCAGUUAUACGCCCCCUGAUCUUCAGGGGACGUUUCUUUGUAUAUCAGAUUGCAGGCUUUUAAUGCCAUUUAAUUUAUUUGCAUAUACAGAAUAACUUCCUAAAAUAUGUGGGAUAGUAUUCUGAAAUCUUCUCUAUAAAUAGAGAGGUCAUGCACCAUUGUAAAUGACCGAUUUUUUGUGAUCUUGAGAUAAAACUUUGGAAAAUUCAUUCUUGAAGAAUUUUCAGAGGUCAUCUUAAGUUUAAUAACAAAGACUCGUGGACUAGGCAGAUUUAACUGUUGAACCACGUAAAAAAUAUCGU